rnacentral:rRNA from 1 species
UACGUAGGGUGCAAGCGUUGUCCGGAAUUACUGGGCGUAAAGAGCGCGUAGGCGGCGCGAUACGACCGAUGUGAAAGCCCCCGGCUCAACUGGGGAGGGUCAUCGGUAACGGUCGUGCUAUGAGUGCAGGAGAGGGAAGUGGAACUCCGGGAGUAGCGGUGAAAUGCGUAGAGAUCCGGAGGAACACCAAAGGCGAAGGCAGUGUCCUGGGGAGUACCUGACGCUCAGGUGCGAAAGCCAGGGGAGCGAACGGG